GACGAACGCUGGCGGCGUGCUUAACACAUGCAAGUCGAACGGAAAGGCCCUGCUUUUGUGGGGUGCUCGAGUGGCGAACGGGUGAGUAACACGUGAGUAACCUGCCCUUGACUUUGGGAUAACUUCAGGAAACUGGGGCUAAUACCGGAUAGGAGCUCCUGCUGCAUGGUGGGGGUUGGAAAGUUUCGGCGGUUGGGGAUGGACUCGCGGCUUAUCAGCUUGUUGGUGUGGUAGUGGCUUACCAAGGCUUUGACGGGUAGCCGGCCUGAGAGGGUGACCGGCCACAUUGGGACUGAGAUACGGCCCAGACUCCUACGGGAGGCAGCAGUGGGGAAUAUUGCACAAUGGGCGGAAGCCUGAUGCAGCAACGCCGCGUGCGGGAUGACGGCCUUCGGGUUGUAAACCGAUUUCGACUGUGACGAAGAGUGAGUGACGGUAAUGGGUAAAGAAGCACCGGCUAACUACGUG
rnacentral:rRNA from 1 species